CAAGAAAUAAUGAAAUUUAAACGACGUGUAAAUCUUGAAUGCUGUGGGUUUACAUUAGUUGAAAUGAAAAUAUAAUGUAAAAUUGUGUUGAAAUCCAUGCACAUAGUAAGAGCAUGAAAAAACACACAAUAAUACAGCUUUUUCCACACGAAAUUAUCAUAUGACGUAUUUCUAAUGCUUUCCACAAAAUUAAAUCGAUAUAAACUGGUUUUUCCAUUUAUAUUACUUUGAAUUUCAAUCGUCGUGUAAAAUUAAUGCGCUCACCAUCAGUUGAAAACAAACAUGGCCGAAGUGUUGUUUGUCAGUUUGCUCAUCACGGCGGAUCAAAAGUUUUUUGUGAUUCAGUACUGCUAUUGAUAAUUACAAGUCACCAUUGGAUGUGUUCGAUACACCUUUGCACUUGCAGGUACCCGCAGUUUUACGAGCAGCAGACAGAUGAAUGGAGAGAUGCAUUGCGAUAAUUUACCCUCUUCAAUCGAAGUUCCGAUUAAAGGACGCAAUUAAAUGUUUAAUAUCAUUCGCAAUCAAUUACCAAUAAAGUUUUUCGUGUGAUGGAG